rnacentral:rRNA from 1 species
GAUGAACGCUGGCGGCGUGCCUAAUACAUGCAAGUCGAACGGACGGACGCUAAGCUUGCUUCUCUGAUGUUAGCGGCGGACGUGUGAGUCACACGUGGAUCCCCUCCCUAUAAGACUGGGAUAACUUCGGGAAACCGGAGUUAAUACCGGAUGAUCUUUUGCACCGCGUGGUUCAAAAGUGAAAGUCGGUCUUGCUGUCUCUUCUCGCUGGUUCCGCGCUGCAUUAGCUAGUUGGUAAGGUCACGGCGUACCAAGGCAACGAUGCCUGGCCGACCUGCCGGGGUGAUCGGCCACACUGGAGCUGAACCACGGUCCAGAGGCCUAAGGGAGGGAGCAGUAGGGAAUCUGCCGCAGUGGGCGAGAGCAUGACGGAGCAACGCCGCGUGAGUGAUGAAGGUCUUCGGAUCGUGAUACUCUGCUAUUAGGGAAGAACAGAUGUGUAAGGAACUGUGGACAGCGUGACGGUAACUAGUAAGAAAGCCACGGCUAACUACGUG